UACAUAGGGUGCAAGCGUUGUCCGGAAUUAUUGGGCGUAAAGAGCUCGUAGGUCGUUUUGUUACGUCGGAUGUGAAACCUGAGGCUACACCUCAGCCUGACAUUCGAUACGGGCAAACGUAGAGUUUGGUAGGGGAGACGUGGAAUUCCUGGUGUAGCGGUGGAAUGCGCAGAUAUCAGGAGGAACACCGGUGGCGAAGGCGCCUUCCUGGCCUAAGACUGACGCUGAGGUGCGAAAGCGUGGGGGAGCAAACGGG
rnacentral:rRNA from 1 species